rnacentral:rRNA from 1 species
UACGGGGGGAGCAAGCGUUGUUCGGAUUUACUGGGCGUAAAGGGCGCGUAGGCGGCCAGCACAAGUCAGUUGUGAAAUCUCCGAGCUUAACUCGGAAAGGUCAACUGAUACUGUGCGGCUAGAGUGCGGAAGGGGCAACUGGAAUUUACGGUGUAGCAGUGAAAUGCGUAGAUAUCGUAAGGAAGACCAGUGGCGAAGGCGAGUCUCUGGACAGCAACUGACGCUGAGGCACGAAGGCCAGGGGAGCAAACGGG